GCCUCCGCAGCGCAAUUGGAUAGCGCGUUCGAUUGCUAUCGAGAAGUACGAAGUUCGAGCCUCCCAGGGACG